UGAGCACCUGCUGUUGGUCUAAUGGCGCUCAUUAAAAACCCAGAAUGGAAAAGAAAACACCAUUACUGGUGGUGAAUCUUGAGACAAAACGACGGCAGAGACUCUGGAAGAACCUUAAAGUGACUUUAAAAAAGAGAGAAUGCAGAUAUCAGAGCACCUGCAACCUCUGGAUGGUAUACCAGAUGAUGACCAUUUGGACAGCUCAGAUGAAGAACUGAGCUCAAAAG